ACGCAGGGCUGGCUACACCGCGAGCCGCACCAGGACCCCACCGAGCCCGCCGAGCGCCGCGGCCCCGCACCUGCGUUCUGCACACACCGCGAGCCGGUGUCCCCAGGGCUGCGGGCGGCGUGGGGUCCGUGUCUGGCCCCCGGCGGCCCUGUGCCCGUCCCUAUCCCUGCACGUCCCGGGGCCAGCGCGGCUGUGGAAAUGGCCGUUCGCCCGCCUCGCCCAGCAGAAUGGAGGCUCUGAGCCGCCCCUUCCCGGGGCCCGGAUCCGGGGGAUUUGUGGCUGGCUUCGGCCUGAGUCUGGAGCCCACAGUGUACUGGAAGAUUCUACUCACAAUGAAAAUAGACAUCACCGUACCUGACAUUUACCGAUAAACACUAGACCUUUCUACCUUC